UCAGGACGAACGCUGGCGGCGUGCUUAACACAUGCAAGUCGAACGAUGAUGCCCAGCUUGCUGGGUGGAUUAGUGGCGAACGGGUGAGUAACACGUGAGUAACCUGCCCUUGACUUCGGGAUAACUCCGGGAAACCGGGGCUAAUACCGGAUAUGAGCCGUCCUCGCAUGGGGGUGGUUGGAAAGUUUUUCGGUCAGGGAUGGGCUCGCGGCCUAUCAGCUUGUUGGUGGGGUGAUGGCCUACCAAGGCGACGACGGGUAGCCGGCCUGAGAGGGCGACCGGCCACACUGGGACUGAGACACGGCCCAGACUCCUACGGGAGGCAGCAGUGGGGAAUAUUGCACAAUGGGCGAAAGCCUGAUGCAGCGACGCCGCGUGAGGGAUGAAGGCCUUCGGGUUGUAAACCUCUUUCAGCAGGGAAGAAGCGCAAGUGACGGUACCUGCAGAAGAAGCGCCGGCUAACUACGUGCCAGCAGCCGCGGUAAUACGUAGGGCGCAAGCGUUGUCCGGAAUUAUUGGGCGUAAAGAGCUCGUAGGCGGUUUGUCGCGUCUGGUGUGAAAACUCGAGGCUCAACCUCGAGCUUGCAUCGGGUACGGGCAGACUAGAGUGCGGUAGGGGAGACUGGAAUUCCUGGUGUAGCGGUGGAAUGCGCAGAUAUCAGGAGGAACACCGAUGGCGAAGGCAGGUCUCUGGGCCGCAACUGACGCUGAGGAGCGAAAGCAUGGGGAGCGAACAGGAUUAGAUACCCUGGUAGUCCAUGCCGUAAACGUUGGGCACUAGGUGUGGGGCUCAUUCCACGAGUUCCGUGCCGCAGCAAACGCAUUA
rnacentral:rRNA from 1 species